UUUUGGCAGAACUAAAUGCAAAAGACUUAGAAUCUUUUUAACCUAAA
rnacentral:tRNA from 1 species